UAGGGAAUAUUGGGCAAUGGUCGAAAGACUGACCCAGCCACGCCGCGUGCAGGAGGAAGGCCCUCUGGGUUGUAAACUGCUUUAGCAGGGGAAGAAAAAGGCCAUGCGUGGCAAAUUGACGGUACCCUGAGAAUAAGCACCGGCUAACUACGUGCCAGCAGCCGCGGUAAUACGUAGGGUGCAAGCGUUGUCCGGAUUUAUUGGGUUUAAAGGGUGCGUAGGCGGCCUAUUAAGUCAGUGUUUAAAUUCUGCAGCUCAACUGUAGGUAUGGCAUUGAUACUGAUGGGCUUGAAUAUUAAGGAGGUGGCUAGAAUUUAUGGUGUAGCGGUGAAAUGCAUAGAUACCAUAAGGAAUACCGAUAGCGGAGGCAUGUCACCACUUGGUAAUUGACGCUGAGGCA
rnacentral:rRNA from 1 species